rnacentral:rRNA from 1 species
GUGACAGCCGCCGCGGUAAGACGAACCGAGCGAACGUUGUUCGGAAUCACUGGGCUUAAAGGGCGCGUAGGCGGGCGACUAAGUCUGUCGUGAAAUCCUCCAGCUCAACUGGAGAACUGCGAUGGAUACUGGUCGUCUCGAGGAAGGUAGGGGCGUGUGGAACUAUCGGUGGAGCGGUGAAAUGCGUUGAUAUCGAUAGGAACUCCGGUGGCGAAGGCGACACGCUGGACCUUUUCUGACGCUGAGGCGCGAAAGCCAGGGGAGCAAACGGGAUUAGAUACCCUCGUAGUCC